rnacentral:rRNA from 1 species
AUUGAACGCUGGCGGCAGGCCUAACACAUGCAAGUCGAGCGGGGUUUUCGGACCUAGCGGCGGACGGGUGAGUAAUGCGUAGGAAGCUACCCGAUAGAGGGGGAUACCAGUUGGAAACGACUGUUAAUACCGCAUAAUGUCUACGGACCAAAGUGUGGGACCUUCGGGCCACAUGCUAUCGGAUGCGCCUACGUGGGAUUAGCUAGUUGGUGGGGUAAUGGCUCACCAAGGCGACGAUCCCUAUCUGGUUUGAGAGGAUGAUCAGCCACACUGGAACGGAAACACGGUCCAGACUCCUACGGGAGGCAGCAGUGGGGAAUAUUGGACAAUGGGCGCAAGCCUGAUCCAGCCAUGCCGCGUGUGUGAAGAAGGCCUUCGGGUUGUAAAGCGCUUUCAGUAGGGAGGAAGGGUGUUGUGUUAAUAGCACAGCAUUUUGACGUUACCUACAGAAGAAGCACCGGCUAACUCUGUGUCAGCCGCCGCGGUAACAC